rnacentral:rRNA from 1 species
UGGGGAAUUUUGGACAAUGGGCGAAAGCCUGAUCCAGCAAUGCCGCGUGUGUGAAGAAGGCCUUCGGGUUGUAAAGCACUUUUGUCCGGAAAGAAAUGGCUCUGGUUAAUACCUGGGGUCGAUGACGGUACCGGAAGAAUAAGGACCGGCUAACUACGUGCCAGCAGCCGCGGUAAUACGUAGGGUCCAAGCGUUAAUCGGCAUUACUGGGCGUAAAGCGUGCGCAGGCGGUUGUGAAAGACCGAUGUGAAAUCCCCGAGCUUAACUUGGGAAUUGCAUUAGUGACUGCACGGCUAGAGUGUGUCAGAGGGGGGUAGAAUUCCACGUGUAGCAGUGACAUGCGUAGAGAUGUGGAGGAAUACCGAUGGCGAAGGCAGCCCCCUGGGAUAACACUGACGCUCAUGCACGAAAGCGUGGGGAGCAAACAGG